rnacentral:rRNA from 1 species
UAGCAUAUCAAUAAGCGGAGGAAAAGAAACCAACCGGGAUUGCCCUAGUAACGGGCGAGUGAAGCGGCAAGAGCUCAAAUUUGAAAGCUGGCUCCUUCGGGGUCCGCAUUGUAAUUUGCAGAGGAUGCUUCGGGAGCGGUCCCCAUCUAAGUGCCCUGGAACGGGCCGUCAUAGAGGGUGAGAAUCCCGUAUGGGAUGGGGUGCCCGCGCCCGUGUGAAGCUCCUUCGACGAGUCGAGUUGUUUGGGAAUGCAGCUCUAAUUGGGUGGUAAAUUUCAUCUAAAGCUAAAUAUUGGCCGGAGACCGAUAGCGCACAAGUAGAGUGAUCGAAAGAUGAAAAGCACUUUGAAAAGAGAGUUAAACAGCACGUGAAAUUGUUGAAAGGGAAGCGCUUGCGAUCAGACUCGCUCGCGGGGUUCAGCCGGCCUUCGGGCCGGUGUACUUCCCCGCGGGCGGGCCAGCGUCGGUUUGGGCGGCCGGUCAAAGGCCCCUGGAAUGUAACGCCUCUCGGGGCGUCUUAUAGCCAGGGGUGCCAUGCGGCCUGCCCGGACCGAGGAACGCGCUUCGGCUCGGACGCUGGCAUAAUGGUCGUAAGCGACCCGUCUUGAAACACGGACCAAGGAGUCUAACAUCUACGCGAGUGUUCGGGUGUCAAACCCGUGCGCGCAGUGAAAGCGAACGGAGGUGGGAACCCCUCGGGGUGCACCAUCGACCGAUCCUGAUGUCUUCGGAUGGAUUUGAGUAAGAGCGUAGCUGUUGGGACCCGAAAGAUGGUGAACUAUGCCUGAAUAGGGCGAAGCCAGAGGAAACUCUGGUGGAGGCUCGCAGCGGUUCUGACGUGCAAAUCGAUCGUCAAAUUUGGGUAUAGGGGCGAAAGACUAAUCGAACCAUCUAGUAGCUGGGUCCUGCG